CAUAGGCUUCGGCUGAUGAGUGAAAUAUCUAUCAACACACUCAAUUAAUUGGCUUAACCUGAAAACAACUUGAGGAUCAUUGAAAGCAACUUAAUUUAAUUAAUGUUGCUCACGACCCAUUUACUUCUUGAAUGUCUCUCUUUUGUGUUCCGGCCCUUUACCAUGUGUUGGUCCAUGAGCCCACUAUAUUAGCCCAUUACUAUUACACCCUAAAAAUAUAUUGGCCUCAUUGCUUGAAGAAGCUCUGUGUGUGUGCAAUUGUGAGAAAAGGCCGCCAACUUUUAUUGUGUUCUCUCUCUUGGAGUUGAAACUUAUCUUCCUCUCUUCUUGGUUACUUAUUGCAGCCACCCUAUUGUGAUCAUUGUGAAUACAUUGAGUUGAGCAACCGAAGUAAAAAUAGUUGUGGAUUGGAGCCAUUACUUGGGUGUGUUUGAUAAGGUUGGGAUUGGUAUGCUGUACUCGAAUUCCACGAAUUGAAGAUCUAUUCCGCUACACUUGACAUCUUUGUUUUCCAUCAUCAUCCAGUAGUUUACAACUCCUCUACAGGAAAAUUCUAACACGUGAAUUUGUGAUUAUGGAAUGACAUCUAAUCCUGAUUAACUGAUUCGAUCCCAAAGAUUGGAAUGGAAGAAGCAGAUUCCGGGUAAUAUCUUUAUGCAUCAGUUUGAAGGUGGCUACAUGGCAUCAACACUGGAUUAGGUUUGAACCAACACAUCUUCUGUGCUUUAGAGGAUAAAUAAACAAAUUUGCGCUAUGUAUUCGAUCAUGAGGUUUGAAUCAACACAAAUUUGAAUCAACUCCAAUGCUAGUUGGUUGUGGAUAUUUAAUA